GUUUUGUUUUGUUUUUGUUUUUGUUUGGAGACAAGGUCUUGCUGUGCCUUCCGGCUGGCCUGGAACUCCCGGCCAUUCUCCUGCCUCAGCUUCGGGAGGGCUUGGACCACAGGCGUGCACCACCACGCCCUGCAAGGACCAUAUUCCCAACUCAGCAGGUCUCAGAGUGUUCUGGGCCCCUCGUGUCCGCGGCGGACAGGCUGUAUUUCCCGGCGCAAGGGCACAGCGGCUCCCGCAGCAUUGCGGCGCUGUUUCCAGAGCGCAGAGGAGGGAGACGCCGAAGUGCAGAUCAACGCCACCUGGCGCUGCAAGCUCCGCUCCAGCUCCUGUCGCGAGCACUCAGGCUGCUUAAGGCCCUGCUGCUCAGUCUGCAGAGUCUUGGGUGGCUCUCAGUGCCACGUGACAGGAACGACAAGAAAAGACCUGUGCGAUGACAGCAAGCUGUUCCCGAGAUCCAGCACUUGUUGCAGUUUUCAAGGCACAUGGAAAAGGCUGCUUCUACAGCACCCCAUCUGGAGCCACAGGUUUGACUCCAAAACUCUCCGCCCCGCAAGCCAAGCGCACCCCAUAAUGGGUGCUCCAUGUGAGAUCGCUGGCCCCAUGUUACAGGUGUAAGAGCCUGAGUAUUUUUUUAUUAAGACUAGUUCAUCAUCAAAAAUUGUCUCCUGUUCCAGCUCUUCUGCUGCCCCCAUUGUGGCUUCCCUCACCUUCCAACUUGCCCAAGGUUGGCUCCAGAAGUUCACUACAGUCCUGUUUGAAGACUUUCCUAACUUCCGUAACACCCACCCCCACCAAGCAUUUCAAAUAUUUCAGGCUCAUGUCAUCAAUCUACCAGCUGCCGGGAUCUUCUGAGUCUCUCCUCGAUGAUACCUGGUUCUCUCUGAUCUGGUCCAGUUUUUCAGGAUCUAUAAUAACAACCUGUUUUUGCUUUCUGCAGGCUGAAGUCAAGGCAAGCAAGUUUUGCAUGAACUCUUCUCGUGGACCCUCCGUGAGACCCACACAGGUGAGUGCACAGACGCCUGUCAGCAUGUUUUCUGUCUGACGUCUCCACUGGGCUUUCAGAAUAGUAGCAGAACUGACUGCUGGCGAGGCUGGCCUCUUGAAUCUGGUGUUCAACGGC
rnacentral:lncRNA from 1 species